GGAGAAUUUUUGGGAAAGAAAAAGAAAAAAUUUAGAAUACUUUGGAAUAGUAUUUAAAAGAAAUAAGUAACAUAAUUAAAUCUUGUCUACCGGAAACCAUAUAGUUAUGUAAAUCAUCAUAGAAUGGAAACGCCUCUAGAAUCGAAGAGUUGAAAGAAUGGAAUUAAGGAAGCGAAGUCUAGUUACUUCGUAUCGAUAUAAAUAUUAAAGAAGGAAAAAUGUACUAGAAGCUCAUUAGAGGCUCUUCCAGAUAAUUAAGAAAACCUAAGUAAACAAAGGAAAGUAUGGAGAUACAAACAACAGUGAAAAAAUAGAGCAACUAAAAUAUGCGAAGUGUGGCAAACUUGUUUAGAUACAAAGAAGAUAAGGACAGAAUAAUUAUAAAGAACAUAAAGAAAAAGAAGAACUUUACCACAUGUCCAUCAUAAUCCUUUGUGACACCUCAAGAACUCUACUGUGACUAAUCUUCAAAGUAUAGUAGAAUUUAAAUAAGACAGUCUAUGUCUGAAGCGUGAAGAAGUGAGAUUAAAUAUUCAACCUGGUAUCUGAAAUAAUCAAGUAUAUAGAGUAAGAUUCCCGUUCGGGAAAAAAAUACAU